CUUGCAUCGUAGAGAGUCUAUUCUUCAAUGCUCUCCUUCACUGUACCAGACAUAAACAGUGCCGUAUCGAAGCUAAUGGCAUUGGGAGCCGAGUUGGAUGGGCCAAUCAAGUAUGAGAUCCAUGGAAAAGUUGCAGCACUGCGAUGCAUCGAUGGGCACAUGCUAGGCCUGUACGAGCCAGCUUGAAGAACUCGUGUCACAACGAAAGUAUUGAGAAGUUCCAUUAACCACUCACUGAAGACUGAUGUGUAUGUCCGGCAAAAGAUCUUUCCGCGUAAGACAACUUACUGGGUCUGGUGUGCAUGAAGUGGCAGAACUCCUUUUGUUAGCAAAAUCACGAGAGACACGGUGGAUGGUUUGCAGUCUACCAUUCUCUUCCUCGUGCUGCUGGUUAUGAUACACAUUUUUCUCGAACUGAAUGUGCCUAGCAGGUCGUCGUGGUAAGCUGAAGCCAGGUUUCAGUGGUCCUGCUCGGUCAUGGCCUUGCUUCAUGGCAUUGUGCCAGUACAUCUAAUUCAAGUUUCAGUUGUAGUUUGACUGACAUUACAUGUGUGCGUAGUUUCAAUUUGCAAUUCAAGUGCAGGAGUGCUCUGCCCCUGAUCAUCCAUGUAAUUGAAAUUCUUCUGUAAGCAUUUGUUCUGACAGUAUAAUUGUGGACCAUAAAGUUGCUGUUAACUUGUGUGUA